rnacentral:tRNA from 1 species
GCGGGUGUGGCGGAAACGGUAGACGCGGCACACUCGCAAUGUGCUGGGCGAAAGCCCGUGGGAGUUCGAGUCUCCCCACCCGCA